rnacentral:rRNA from 1 species
UACGUAGGGUGCGAGCGUUAAUCGGAAUUACUGGGCGUAAAGCGUGCGCAGGCGGUUUUGUAAGCCAGAUGUGAAAUCCCCGGGCUUAACCUGGGAAUGGCAUUUGGGACUGCAAGGCUUGAGUGCGGCAGAGGAGACUGGAAUUCCUGGUGUAGCAGUGAAAUGCGUAGAUAUGUGGAGGAACACCGGUGGCGAAGGCGGCAUCCUGGACCGGCAUUGACGCUGAGGCGACGAAAGCCAGGGGAGCAAACGGG